rnacentral:rRNA from 1 species
UACGGAGGAGACGAGCGUUGUCCGGAAUUACUGGGCGUAAAGCGCGUGUAGGCGGAUGGGCAAGUCUGCUGUGAAAGCUCCUGGCUUAACCGGGAGUAGUCGGUGGAAACUACCAAGCUGGAGUACGGUAGGGGCAGAGGGAAUUUCCGGUGGAGCGGUGAAAUGCGUAGAGAUCGGAAAGAACACCAACGGCGAAAGCGCUCUGCUGGGCCGACACUGACACUGAGAGACGAAAGCUAGGGGAGCGAAUGGG